GGGCCAUAGCUUAGUGGCAGAGCAUCUGCUUGGCAUGCAAACAGUCCAAAUGUUCGAUCCCUGGCAGCUCCA
rnacentral:tRNA from 1 species